ensembl:piRNA 21ur-14404 ncRNA
UUCAGUGACAAAAAAACAUCU